UUAUUACAUUGAAAAAUAACGAUUAAUAGCUGAGAAUCUGGUCUAUCAAACGUUAUUGUGCUCUUGUUCCAACCUGAAUUCUGUGAUUCUACAAUCAGAAAAAAAUUUUGCUUCCAAUUUGGUGUGAAAUCCCAGGAGGCUGAAACUAGGGAAAGUUCUUAUUUGGCACGGUGAGUAUAUCCACACUGUUUUAAUAUGUGUACGGCCAUACGUUGUUCUGUCUCAAAAGGAGCUGGAUGCCCAGUGUAAUUAAUCCUAGAUAGGACUCAGAGCACUUUGCUUUAGUGAUGCCUUGAUUUUUCUUAUUGCUCCGUCUCUGUUCCUGAUGCUGUUUCAUAGUGUGUCAUAAUCAAGGGCGGAAAGUAGCCAUGGUUACCUGCAAUAGUGCUGGUGAUUGCAACCAACACUCAAGAGCUUCAAGGGUACUUAGCAAGUAUGCCAGACCUAGAAGAUCAGUGUACCACAAUGAGAGAGAUGGAUAAUUGCACAAGAGGGUAUAAGAGACAGAAGACUUCAGUGACAGAAUUUAGGUUUAUAACAGUGGCACUCGGAUGAAGCACACACUAAGGAAUAUAUAAUCAACAGUCAAGGAGAGCGCUCCGUCAGAAGGCUUGAACGAGUCCUUUUCUUUUAUAAACUGUAUCUUUUAAGCAUAUACUAAUAUGGUGGCCUGUUCUUGGAGGUUUGGGUCAAAAAGAAAAAAAAGACAUUCUGUGAUUCUGUGAUGACUGAAAGUUUUGGAAUUAAGUGAGCUGUUAUCUUUAGGCUUUUUCAUAUAUCUUUGCCAUUAUCACUAUCCAUGCACAGUUAAGACUUUGCUGGAGACAGUUUAGGCUAGUUCAGUAAACCUAGCUGAUAACAAUAACAUGCAGUAUAUGUAGUCCUGUGCAUGGUAGAUUCAUGGCAAAGCAGUUGACUUACCACCUUGUCCUUCUUCAGAAGGUUGUCCUUACAGGUCUAUUUAGAUUCAGAUCCUGAAAUCAUCAUUAUUUCCCUUUUUAAAGUUACUGCCAGGAUACUCACGUGAUGCGGUGGUGUGUCUGGACCUAUCUGAGGUGCAAUUAGUAACAUUUCUUUAAACCCCAUUACAACCAUAAAACCUUCCUAGAAGAUUGCAUUUAGCUCAUCACCUUCUAAUGGAUGUCUUAUCCUGCCCCUGAAGCAAGGAAAGCGCACAUACUGUUUUGAAAUACAAGCUUUGCUGUGCUCCUAGGCAUCAAACAUUAACACCAAAUGUUUGCAAUUAGACUGCCUAUUGUAGAAACUUGAGAGUUCUUUAAAUAUAGAGCAGCAAAUUGCUCUGAGAAGAUGGUAAGCAUUAUGCUCCAUAGGAGAGAUCCUAUUUUCAGUGUCGUACUAACUUAAUUUUGUUUUACAGAUGCUAUGCAGGAAGAAAUGAUGCUGGGUUUCAGUGGAGUUCUGGGCAUUUGCUAUUUGGUGUAUGUCACAGUUUUCUUUCUUGCAAUUGCUGCUUCCUUUUUUCAUAACACAUCUAACUAAGUCCUUUAACUA
rnacentral:lncRNA from 1 species